rnacentral:tRNA from 1 species
ACUAUUUUGGCAGAUAAUUGUGAUGAUUUUAGAGUUCAUAUAUAUAUAUUAUACUUAAAUAUAUAGGUAGUA